UACAGGGGGUGCAAACGUUGCUCGGAAUCACUGGGCGUAAAGCGCACGCAGGCGGAUUGAUAAGUCAGGGGUGAAAUCCCGGAGCUCAACUUCGGAAUUGCCUUUGAUACUGUCUGUCUUCGAGUUCGGGAGAGGUUGGCGGAAUUCCUAGUGUAGAGGUGAAAUGCGUAGAUAUCUGGAGGAACACCGGUGGCGAAGGCGGCGUUCUGGACUGCAACUGACGCUCAGGCACGAAAGCGUGGGGAGCAAACAGG
rnacentral:rRNA from 1 species